UACGUAGGGUGCGAGCGUUAAUCGGAAUUACUGGGCGUAAAGCGUGCGCAGGCGGUUCUCCAAGUCCGUUGUGAAAGCCCCGGGCUCAACCUGGGAAUGGCAGUGGAAACUAGGGGACUGGAAUCUGGCAGGAGGGGGUGGAAUGCCGCGUGUAGCAGUGAAAUGCGUAGAGAUGCGGCGGAACACCGAUGGCGAAGGCAGCCCCCUGGGCUGAGAUUGACGCUCAGGCACGAAAGCGUGGGGAGCAAACAGG
rnacentral:rRNA from 1 species